rnacentral:rRNA from 1 species
CCUACGGGAGGCAGCAGUGGGGGAUAUUGCACAAUGGGGGGAACUCUGAUGCAGCGACGCCGCGUGGGUGAAGAAGGGCCUCGGCGCGUAAAGCCCUGUCAGCAGGGAAGAAAAUGACGGUACCUGAAGAAGAAGCCCCGGCUAACUACGUGCCAGCAGCCGCGGUAAUACGUAGGGGGCAAGCGUUAUCCGGAUUUACUGGGUGUAAAGGGGGCGGAGACGGGGAUGCAAGCCAGGAGUGCAAGCCCGGGGCCCAACCCCGGGACUGCUCUUGGAACUGCGUGGCUGGAGUGCAGGAGGGGCAGCCGGAAUUCCUGGUGUAGCGGUGAACUGCUUAGAUAUCAGGCGGAACACCGGUGGCGAAGGCGGCCUGCUUGACUGCAUCUGACGUUGAGGCCCGAACGCGUGGGGAGCAAACAGGAUUAGAUACCCGUGUAGUC